UAAGGUUUUAGGGUAUAAUUACCUGUGACACUGUAGCAAUGUAUUUUCUCAAUAAGGUUGUUGUUAUCCUUUCAGGCCUCUGCAGUCCCGGGCAUUCUCGAACCAAUUCAUGCAUAGCUCGACUGCCAGAUAAUGGAGAUCCGAAAGAGGCUGGCUCAGAUGACGAGGAAGCUUACUUGGAUGAGGAUGAAAUAAAUAAGAGAUUUGUAUUGUAUUCUAAAGAUUGAAUAAAUGAAUGCUUCUA